UUCCCUGCUGUUCAGAGGGAGCCUCCUGUGCUUCAGCGUGUGCCCACUGCUCCAGUGCUGUCACGGGGAAGAGCCUGGCUCCAUCCUCCUCGCACUGUCUGGGCCUUCCCUUCUGUAUUGUCCUUCCAGGAGACACCAGAGUGGUUGAAGUCCCCUAUGAAGACCAGGGCCCGAGACUCAAAACCUGCGUUUAGACACAGGAAGGAUGAGGAGGACCAGAGUUUUAUCACAAUCUUCUCAUUUUGCAUCACACUUCAGCAUCUUCACCCAUAAAACUGCUUUUCAUCCUAUACUUCUUUCCUUGGAAAGGCAAACCCACCAGUGUCCCAUCUCCAGUAGUCCUGAGCUCAAUGACUGAAGGUUGCCAACUCCAGCUGUGUUGGAAGCCCUGUAACAGUCUGUGUUGACAGCUCGUGGCAGUUCCUUAGGAUGGAAAAUCAUGUGGCAAGCCGUGAGUGAGUUGAGGCAUUUCCUCCCUCCUACUCUCCUCAUACUCUCCAAAGCACACUUGUCAUAUCCCAGAUCAAUGUGAAAGCGCCUGAACUUCCAGCAACAAACCCAGGGAGAGCAUUGGCUUCAUUUAUUGAAGUAAGUUUUACCUGUCCAUUUGGCAGAAAUGUUUUGUUUGCUACCUCAUUCCCUAACUGGUUGAAGUCCUGUUUUAUCACCUGUUUGGGUAAAGUUAAGCAAUUUAUAGCUCAGUAUUAUGUGUUCUUUUCUAUUCUUUCCAAGUAUCCCUGACUUUAGGAAAUGAAUCCCACCUAAACUGGUAAUUUAAUUCACCUGAACAUUUUUCCAUAAUAAUAAUGGUGCAGCUUCUAAAUUAAAGUGUCUCUUAGCAAUGUUGUCAAUCCAGAAGAGGACUUGCUCAGAGGAACUGUUUCAAAUCCCAGAUUUGCGAACACAGGAAAAAUCUACAGGCAGGUUUAGAUCUGCAGAUUACCCCAAAAUAUUGUAGGCUAGUUUACAAGGUUAAGACCUUGCUCUGAUUUUUCCUCGAAGUAAUGCAUCAGGAGAAGGUGGGAUUAGGUGCACACAGGUGGCUUUCAAACAGCUCCAAGUACCUUCAGCCCAUGGGUUCCUGCUACUAUUUACUCAUCUGGAGAAAAGUUAUCUUGUUUACUUCCAAAAAGAAAUUUGAAUAUGAUAGAAUUUCCUUGGGUAAAGGGGCUGGUGCAGUCCUGUGGCCAAUGCUCAUCAGUUUGCUGUUUUGGGUAGUGCCUGGGCUGUUGCCUAUUUCAGAAAGAGAACUCAAACUUCAUGGAAGGGACUCCUACGCUGCAUUAUCAAAGCUCCUGUGCUACUUCUAAAUUUCAGCACCAACACAGUCAGUUGCCUCACAGAUUGUCUCUAUGUUCCAUAACUAUUUAAGCAAAUCGAGUAGUAGUGAUUACCAUGGGUAGUCUUGACAGCAGAUGCAGGGGUCACAAAUAAGCAAGGCUAUAAAACUAGCUGAAUUUUAUAUUCCAAUACCAUUUUUCCUAAUUCUGCUAGCCCUUGACUAGACACUGACACCCAAACAGGAGAUUUGCCUUCAUGCCUGAAGGAGGAAAACCAGGAAACUUUCUGUUAAAAAAAAAAAAAAAAAAAAUCUCCUAUGGAAGUUCUCUUGGCAGUCAUUUAGAAAGAUACUGUUUCUAAGUUCUUGCAUUACCCGUGGGUUUAGCAAUUUGUGCUGCUCCAAAAUCCUCCAAAUUUACACAGAAGACCCAUUUUGAAGUACUUCUGGGAAGCUGUGACCCCAAAUCUGGAGCUUUACAAGAAAUGCUGUCUGCAGAGUUUCCAUGUCUGGGAGAACAUCUGUGGCUACGGUUGGAUUCAGUCAUCAAAGCUUAAAUCUGAUGCUUCAGGUUAGGAGCUCAGUGCCGUACUGCAAAUUUAUGCAAAACAGCACAAGCAUCAGCAAUGAGUCAGGCUCAACAAAGACCUGUCUCCUCUGUGAAGAAAAACCUUGAAAACACUCUUUAAAAAAUGUCUUAAGUCAGUUUUUAUGAUCUUUCAGGUGUUCUUGCUUGUUAUUAGAGGUCUAUAAUGGUCCUGUUGUUGUUCUAUUAUGGCUUUGCAGAGACUGAACUGGACUUGACUGUAACCUUCACACACAUCAACAGAUGCUGAAAGGAAUGGGACAGUGUUUUCCUGAAGAAACACUAUUCCUCUAGUCCAGUGUAUGGACAAAAAAUCGUGUUUAUGCAUGAGAACACGAUUUGUUAAUAGUGUAAAGUUAGUUACUGACAGUGCAAAGGAAGUGGCCUGAAUGACUUUUUCCAGUAGUCAGGAAUUUAAAACAGUCAAUAAAUUAUUCCCAUUUUACCAUGCAAACUGUAGGCAGCACAACAGCCUGACAGCAACACAAAAAAAUGAAUUAAGCAGAAUUAUUUUUUCAGGUGAACUGCCUGUACCUUCAACUGAUUUAAUUCUAAAUGUCUUGACUGUAACAGUUCUUUCAUGUUUAAGGAAAGCAUAAAGAAUCCCCCCCAGCUAAUACAUAUAUAUAUAUGAACACCAUGGCCUUAGAGGUGCUAGAAAAGCAAUCUUUUUACAAAUUGAACUCUAAAAGGUUUGACAUGACAGAACUCAUAGGUAAAGGUAUCUUUUAUUCUUCUUUGCACUAAAAUCAAAUUCAACCAAGGAAUUCUAACUUAAGCCCCACUAUUGUAAGGAAAACAGUCUUUUUUAAGAGAUUGCAAAAAAGCAUUUACUGAACGUUAGUUUGACCUCUUAACAAAAUAAUUAAAAGCAGAAUGACCCCCUAUGUCUUCUUUCCCCAUCUACCUCCUGUUAGAGAAAACUUACAUAAAAUUUACAUCAAUAAAUUAAUAUUCAAGUUUUAAUUUGAAGGAAAUUAAGAGUUUUUAAACAAAAUAAAACAAACAUUAAAGCCUCUAAGUUACAA